GGGCCUCUAGCUCAAUGGUAGAGCAACGGCCUUUUAAGCCGUGGGUUCUGGGUUCGAGUCCCAGGGAGCUCA
rnacentral:tRNA from 1 species